UACAGGGGGUGCAAACGUUGCUCGGAGUCAUUGGGCGUAAAGCGCACGUAGGCGGUUUGUUAUGUCGGAUGUGAAAGCCCUUGGCUCAACUGAGGAAGUGCAUCCGAAACUGGCAAGCUAGAGUACUAAAGAGGGUCGCGGAAUUCCCGGUGUAGAGGUGAAAUUCGUAGAUAUUCGGAGGAACACCAGUGGCGAAGGCGGCUCACUGGUCCGGUACUGACGCUGAGGUGCGAAGGCGUGGGGAGCAAACAGG
rnacentral:rRNA from 1 species